AUUGAACGCUGGCGGCAUGCUUUACACAUGCAAGUCGAACGGUAACAGGGAGCUUGCUCCGCUGACGAGUGGCGAACGGGUGAGUAAUGCGUCGGAACGUGCCGAGUAGUGGGGGAUAACGCAUCGAAAGGUGUGCUAAUACCGCAUACGUACUGAGGUAGAAAGUGGGGGACCUUCGGGCCUCACGCUAUUCGAGCGGCCGACGUCUGAUUAGCUAGUUGGUGAGGUAAAGGCUCACCAAGGCGACGAUCAGUAGCGGGUCUGAGAGGAUGAUCCGCCACACUGGGACUGAGACACGGCCCAGACUCCUACGGGAGGCAGCAGUGGGGAAUUUUGGACAAUGGGCGCAAGCCUGAUCCAGCCAUGCCGCGUGUCUGAAGAAGGCCUUCGGGUUGUAAAGGACUUUUGUCCGGGAGCAAAUGCCUGGUUAAUACCUAGGGCUAAUGACGGUACCGUAAGAAUAAGCACCGGCUAACUCUGUGCCAGCAGCCGCAGUAAUAC
rnacentral:rRNA from 1 species